CUUCCGUUACCCUGCCCCACAUGAUGAUGGUACAUAAAACGCAUUCACCAAUGGACACAAUCCCAUUUUGCCAUGGAUCUUCAGGGUCCCGGGGACCCUAUGCUGGGUGCCUGAGAAAUGAAGCACCUAGGAGGAAUAAUUUGCAAUCAUACCACAGCUUCAAAAAGCAUCUGAGUCAGAUACGAGUGAAUUAUUUGCAGACAGCAGAUCUGUUUUCUCCUGCACAGCAACAGCUUGAACAGUCUGGAGAGGGAGGUUUUGCUUCUUGCAAGUGGAGGAUGCAGCACCAUGCUCCAGGAGAGGGCUGCUGGCUGUCUCGGUGAGACAUCUGGAUGUGCCCAAGCCCUAGCCGAGCAGGCACAGCCGGACCUGAAGGGUCCUGAAGAAAUGCUCUCUCCAUCCCUGUUCCCACCUGACACGCUGGCCCCUUCCCAUCAGCUGCAGUGGCUUUUUAAUAGCCGUUUCCCUGUGAAAUUGGAAGGAUUGCUGGCUGUGAAAUACAAAUGGUAUGUACUA